UUUAGAUUUAUUUAAAUUGUAUAACAACUACUGUAAAAAUAACAAUAAAUAAGGUACAGUUUCUAAUGAGUUGGUCAGAUUCAAUGGGCACAUUACAUAAAUAUUAUGCACUGUAAUAGGACUAUUCCUGGAACUUUUGAGUAUUAAAACAAUACAAAACCUGGAAACUGUAUUAUAAAAUAUACCAAAGUUGGUACAUGUAUAAAGAACUACAUUUCUAAAUGCAAAUAAUACAACACAUUUGAUUUUUAAUUGCAUGGAGAGCUUCAGUGUUCAAGCCGAUAAAAUUCACUGUUUAAUAUUCCUCUUAAAUUUCAAUCCUAACAUUAUGAGAAAUUAAAAACCAAUUGUUCAGAGAACAAUUGUAGGUCUUUCCACUAGUAAAGAUCUAUUUUGAUAUUGAAAUAUUAAAAAUCAGUUUAAAAUGUUAGUUCCUAUGGCUUUAUGAUGUAUUUAUAUGAAUUUAAAGCAAAGGUCAAAAUCUAGAACGUCAUAUCAACCUAUGACCUUGACCUCAAUUUCAAGUUCACAAACCAAGGACCUUAAAUCAAAAGACCCAAGGUCUUUAAUAUGUUUGGUUUAUUAGUAAUAUCACUUUACGCGUAAUUCUAAAUGUAAGAUGGGCAAAAACUCCCAUUUCUUGUCUGCGCACCCUUUCAAUCAAAAUAUACAAGUAAGGACAUGUCGCAACUAACAAUUUAUGAAAAAUUAUUUGUCGAUAUGUCAUAAGGUAUUUGAAAAUAAAUGAAAAUAAGCCAAAAUCAAAAUUUAAAAUAUGACCUUGACCUUUGACCUUGACCUCAUUUUUAUUAUUUUCGACCAAGGACCCCAAAUCUAAAGACCCUAUGUCUUUAUCACUUAUGGUUUACCAUUUAGAAAUGCAUAUCACUUAAUUAAAUGGAAAAGGGGGAAUAACUCUCAUAUGGAGUCUCCGUAAAGCUUCGGUCCAAAUGAAUAUCCUAAUCCUGAAGAUGUAACGAGCAAUUUGGUAAAAUAAAUUUGUCGUAAUCUUUAACGGUUGUGAAGGAGUAGUGGCCACAAGAAAAACAGUGUUUGGGGAGAUAACUCUUACAACGUAAAGUAUUUUGUUACACAGUUGUAAAGUUUUAAAGCGUAUAAACUAUACGAUACCAUAUUCCAAAUAUCUAAGCGACAUCUUUUGAAACAUCAAUAAUACGCAAGAAAAAAAAUUAGGCGGAAGAAAAAAAAAAAAAAAAUAAUAAUAAUAAUAAUAAUCAGAACAAAUUCAAUAGGUCUUUCCACGGAAAGGUGGAAAGACCUAAUAAGCUGGUCUUUCUGUUCACCAUUAUAAUGCAAACUAAAAAUGCAGUAAGUCAUUUAUCUUUAUCAUAACAAACUAAAUUAUUUUGAUGUCCUUAACUUCAAGAGUCAAUCACGAUUUUACUUAGUCUGUUACCACAACAAAAAGCAAACUUGUAACAGUAAAUCUCAACAAUCAUGAACUUAAGAAGCUAAAAAUGUAGAAAAGUAUGACUUAAA
rnacentral:lncRNA from 1 species